rnacentral:rRNA from 1 species
GUGAACGCUGGCGGUAGGCCUAACACAUGCAAGUCGAACGGCAGCACAGUAAGAGCUUGCUCUUACGGGUGGCGAGUGGCGGACGGGUGAGGAAUACAUCGGAAUCUACUUUUUCGUGGGGGAUAACGUAGGGAAACUUACGCUAAUACCGCAUACGACCUACGGGUGAAAGCAGGGGAUCUUCGGACCUUGCGCGAUUGAAUGAGCCGAUGUCGGAUUAGCUAGUUGGCGGGGUAAAGGCCCACCAAGGCGACGAUCCGUAGCUGGUCUGAGAGGAUGAUCAGCCACACUGGAACUGAGACACGGUCCAGACUCCUACGGGAGGCAGCAGUGGGGAAUAUUGGACAAUGGGCGCAAGCCUGAUCCAGCCAUACCGCGUGGGUGAAGAAGGCCUUCGGGUUGUAAAGCCCUUUUGUUGGGAAAGAAAAGCAGCAGGUUAAUACCCCGCUGUUCUGACGGUACCCAAAGAAUAAGCAUCGGCUAACUUCGU